UAGUGUGAGGGCGAUCUGGCUGUGACAUCUGUCAUCCCAUUGAUUGCCAGGCUGAUCUGGCUGGCUAGACAGAUGUCCCCUUCGUCCCUCACUGCUCCAUGUGCAUCCCUCCUGAAGCUGCACACUCGAUAGAAGAGGACGAUGUCCCAGGUGUAGAAGGAAUGUACCAAGGUCUCCAGUCUUCGGUCCCAGCUAUACGAUAGCUGCACUCCCCUGCUAGAACUUCCAAAUUUCCUUUGACCAGAAUCUGGCAACUUGGAAUGCCUCUGGUGUCGCUGUGAGAAGGUCCUCCAUUGUGCAUGAGGCAGGCCUCGGA
rnacentral:snRNA from 1 species